ensembl:lncRNA
CAGAUUUGCUUAUAAACUUAUAGUGAAACCCUGUUAUGAUUCAUUGCAGAGUGCGAAGCUGGAAAGUACAGAGAGGGAUGGCAGCAGGAUUACAACUGUAGCAAUGGUGGAAUUUGUGAUCGGUUUUGGGGGAGAUGCUCUUGUCAUCCAGGCUGGAUGGGGGACCACUGUGAAAUUGCUUGCUUGCCUGGAUCUUAUGGCAAUCGUUGUGCUGAACGUUGCCAAGUUCUCUUGAGACAUGCCUUGUAACCAUGUGAGUGGAGAGUGUGGCUGCCCUUCAGGUUUCACAAGCAAUGGUUGUGAAAGAAGUAAGUCCUCUAAUGCAGUGUUUCUCAACCGGGGGCCAUAGAGCCCCCUGUGGGCCCCUAGGAUAUUCCAAGGGGGUCCACAGGGGACUUCCUUCUCCCUCCCCUUCCAC